rnacentral:lncRNA from 1 species
GUGCCUUUUACUGGGAGCUGUUCACCACCAUAACCAUUCAGUCUGCGCAUGGUGGGCUGUAGCUCGCACUCAGAUGUCAAGCUGCGGUACUUAUUGAGAGUAAUAAUGUUUACUUGUGCACCAGUGUCUAGUUUGAACUUUAGCUUUGUGCCUUGUGUUCCUAUCUCAAUGUCAGCAAAGGCUUGCUCUGUCUCUGAUAUGUGACUUUUCUGUGUCACUGAAUCAAUAAACAGUUCAUCAUCAUUUGACUCUUUGAUUGACAUUUCAUCUUCACUCACUGUGUGUACUGUUUUUUCACGGUAAGCUCUGCACACUUUUGCAAAGUGAUUCCAUUUACCACAUUUAGUACACUGUUUGCCUUUAGCUGGGCAAUUUCCUUGUUCGCCAUGCACUUUGUAUCCACAAUAUCCACAUGUUUUGGGGCGUUUUGAGUCUGUGUCGCUCUGUUUUGGAGUUAUGUCUCUCUCCGUUCUGAAACGCUCUCUCUGGGUACCGGAGGUGUGCUUUGAUGUCUGCCUGACUGCGUGCACUGCUUGUUCACGUGAUGCGCUCGUGCUGCGGCGCGAAAUGGUUUUCAUCUGAGCCUGUGCUAGCUCGUGAGAUCUGGCUAUGUCGAUAGCUUUGUCCAGCGUUAGCUCAGACCCAACAUUCAAAAGUUUCUCUCUCACUCGCGGUGAGUGUAUUCCAAAUACAAUACGGUCCCUGACCAUCUCAUCCUUGUUUGCAUAAUCACAGUCUUUCACAAGCAGACGCAGCUCAGUCACAAACUGUUCGAAAGACUCGCUAGCUCCCUGUACUUUCUCAUGGAAUUUGUACCUAGCGAAAAUUGUAUUAGUCUUCGGCACAACAUAUGCUUCAAAACGAUCGUAGUAUGUUUUCAGUACCUUUGAUUCAGCCUCGGUAAGUGUCCAUGUGUUGUAAAUAUCUCUCCCUUUUUCACCGAUCCAGAGGAGCAGGUAGCUACAUUUUUCCUCUUCUCCUCUUUCCUUCAGGGGACCCGUGAACAUUAGCUCCACAUGCUGUUUGUACUUACGCCAUGCAUCGGCCAGCCAGUUGAACCAGUGGCAGAUGGUGUCAUUCUCCAAACACCGCCGGUUGCCACCAGGUAUGGAAUAGGUUACUUUAAACAGGUCCCGCGGGUCCCUGGCAGUGGGAGGCUUUAUGGAGUCCACAAAAAGUGCUCAGAAGCUGUCCGGAUGGUUCCCUAAUGCUUUGAGCAGCCCAAGAGAGUUGAGACCAUAUUUGAACCUGUCAUGGUUUAGAGACAGUAUGUAUAUUUAAAAUAAGUGUUAAGGACAAUAUAGUGAUGUGUAUUGAUUUAGGGGGGUGGACUGAUAAAAUACUUAUGUCAGAGGAGGUAAUGACAAGUACUUCACAGAUUUAUGACAGAGUUGACUUACUGCUCCAAGGCCACCUGCAUGCUCCCUUGGAUAAAUUGUUGAGCCACCAAUUCAACCACACCAUCUCUGUCCUCCAUUGUCUUGAUAACAAUCUGUUUUUUGUAGGGGAACAAGUCUCCUCCUCCUGUCUGUCUUAAAGGUCUCGACAUUUGGAUUAAUCUGGGGGAAUGUUUCCCCCAAAACCUUCAAGAAGCUGCUCCCCUCC